GUUCGGUGGAGGAACCAGACUGGAUGUUGGAAGUAAGUGAUGUGCCUCCCACCCUGACGGUGCUGCCCCCCUCCUCUGAGGAGCUGCAGCAGGGCACAGCCACGCUCAUGUGCCUGGCCAACAAGGGCUUCCCCUCAGGCUGGAGUCUGGCCUGGAAGGUGGUCGGCAGCAGCAUCAGCUGGGAGGAGAGCAGGAGCCCUGCGGUGCUGGAGAAGGACAAUCUCUACAGCUGGAGCAGCACCCUGAGGAUCUCUGUAGACCAGUGGAGGAAGGUGGGCUCUGUGACCUGUGAGGCCACCCAGGGCUCCCAGACUCCAGUCACAGAGACUCUGAGGAGAGACCAGUGUACCCAGUUCUGAUCUGACUCACUGAGACUCUGCUGCUGGUUUUACUUUGAUACUGCUCUCAGUCUUCCUCUCCUUAUUUCUGAUUCAUGUUUCUCAUUGUGCAUUGCACAUUUCAGCAUAUGAAUUUUCUUUCUCUUCCUGAUGUAUUCCAUGCUUGUUUUUAAACAAUAAAGGUUUUUUUCUCGUGUA